rnacentral:rRNA from 1 species
UACGAAGGGGGCUAGCGUUGUUCGGAUUUACUGGGCGUAAAGCGCACGUAGGCGGAUCGAUCAGUCAGGGGUGAAAUCCCAGAGCUCAACUCUGGAACUGCCUUUGAUACUGUCGAUCUGGAGUAUGGAAGAGGUGAGUGGAAUUCCGAGUGUGGAGGUGAAAUUCGUAGAUAUUCGGAGGAACACCAGUGGCGAAGGCGGCUCACUGGUCCAUUACUGACGCUGAGGUGCGAAAGCGUGGGGAGCAAACAGG